rnacentral:rRNA from 1 species
AUUGAACGCUGGCGGCAGGCUUAACACAUGCAAGUCGAACGAGUGGCGGACGGGUGAGUAAUGCUUGGGAAUCUAGCUUAUGGAGGGGGAUAACUACUGGAAACUGUAGCUAAUACCGCGUACCAUAGGAUGAGCCCAAGUGGGAUUAGGUAGUUGGUGGGGUAAAGGCUCACCAAGCCGACGAUCUCUAGCUGGUCUGAGAGGAUGACCAGCCACACGGGGACUGAGACACGGCCCAGACUCCUACGGGAGGCAGCAGUGGGGAAUAUUGCGCAAUGGGGGCAACCUGACGCAGCCAUGCCGCGUGUAUGAAGAAGGCCUUCGGGUUGUAAAGUUCUUUCGGUAGGGAGGCGUUAACUGCAGAAGAAGCACCGGCUAACUCCGUGCCAGCAGCCGCGGUAAUUC